rnacentral:rRNA from 1 species
AACGAAUGCUGGCGGCAUGCCUAACACAUGCAAGUCGAACGAGACCUUCGGGUCUAGUGGCGCACGGGUGCGUAGCGCGUGGGAACCUGCCCUUAGGUUCGGAAUAACUCCCCGAAAGGGGUGCUAAUACCGGAUAAUGUCUUCGAACCAAAGAUUUAUCGCCUUUGGAUGGGCCCGCGUUGGAUUAGCUAGUUGGUAGGGUAAAAGCCUACCAAGGCGACGAUCCAUAGCUGGUCUGAGAGGAUGAUCAGCCACACUGGGACUGAGACACGGCCCAGACUCCUACGGGAGGCAGCAGUGGGGAAUAUUGGACAAUGGGCGAAAGCCUGAUCCAGCAAUGCCGCGUGAGUGAUGAAGGCCUUAGGGUUGUAAAGCUCUUUUACCCGGGAUGAUAAUGACAGUACCGGGAGAAUAAGCUCCGGCUAACUCCGUG